CAUAGCUCAGUGGUAGCGCAUCCGGCUGUAGUCCGCAAUACCUGGGUUCGAUUCCAA
rnacentral:tRNA from 1 species